UACGUAGGGUGCGAGCGUUGUCCGGAAUUAUUGGGCGUAAAGAGCUCGUAGGCGGUGUGUCGCGUCGGCCGUGAAAAACCUGCAGCUUAACUGUGGGCGUGCGGUCGAUACGGGCAUCACUGGAGUUCGGCAGGGGGAGACUGGAAUUCCUGGUGUAGCGGUGAAAUGCGCAGAUAUCAGGAGGAACACCUGCGGCGAAGGCGGGUUGCUGGGCCGACACUGACGCUGAUGCGCGAAAGCCAGGGGAGCGAACGGG
rnacentral:rRNA from 1 species